rnacentral:snRNA from 1 species
GUCCUAGCUUUGAUAGUACAUAUACUGAAAUUGGCAUGAUACAGAGAAGAUUAUCAUGGCCCCUGCCCCAGGGAUUACCACCAAGUCCUGGAAGGGACCUUAUUUUUU